rnacentral:rRNA from 1 species
GAUGAACGCUAGCGGGAGGCUUAAUACAUGCAAGUCGAGCGGCAAGGUCUUCGGACCCUAGAGCGGCGCACGGGUGAGUAACGCGUACGCAAUCUGCCCUUCACUGAGGGAUAGCCCAUAGAAAUGUGGAUUAAUACCUCAUAGUUCUGAGUUUCCGCAUGGGAAUUCAGAUAAAGCUCCGGCGGUUAAAGAUGGGCAUGCGUGACAUUAGCUAGUUGGUGAGGUAACGGCUCACCAAGGCUACGAUGUCUAGGGGUUCUGAGAGGAUGAUCCCCCACACUGGUACUGAGACACGGACCAGACUCCUACGGGAGGCAGCAGUGAGGAGUAUUGGUCAAUGGGCGCAAGCCUGAACCAGCCAUCCCGCGUGCAGGAUGAAGGCCCUAUGGGUCGUAAACUGCUUUUAUACACCAAGAAAAACACGAACGUGUUCGUGCCCGACGGUAGUGUAUGAAUAAGCAUCGGCUAACUCCGUGCCAGCAGCCGCGGUAAGAC